AACUACUUAUUUAGAAAGAAGCAAAAUGCCACUAAAAAUUGCAUUUCCUGGAGGAAAUGCGUGGGAAUGCUGAACAGCUGAAUUGCUAAAGCUAAACUUGAUAAAUAGUUUAAAUCCAUGAGAAGAAAUUGAAAUAUGGAGAAUACUU